UACGAAGGGGGCGAGCGUUGUUCGGAUUUACUGGGCGUAAAGGGCGCGCAGGCGGCGCAUUUUGUCAGGCGUGAAAGCCCCGGGCUUAACCUGGGAACUGCGUUUGAUACGGAUGGGCUAGAGUUCGGGAGAGGAGAGUGGAAUUCCCAGUGUAGAGGUGAAAUUCGUAGAUAUUGGGAAGAACACCAGUGGCGAAGGCGGCUAACUGGUCCAGCACUGACGCUGAGGUGCGAAAGCGUGGGGAGCAAACAGG
rnacentral:rRNA from 1 species